AUUAUCAAGAAAGGUGGAGGGGUAAGGCCCAUUGAAACCUUGGCAACCCCUGUAAAGAAAGGUGCCAAUUCCUACUUCAGAUAGUUGAAGAAAGAUAA
rnacentral:ncRNA from 1 species